rnacentral:rRNA from 1 species
AUUGAACGCUGGCGGCAUGCUUUACACAUGCAAGUCGAACGGCAGCAUGGGUGCUUGCACCUGAUGGCGAGUGGCGAACGGGUGAGUAAUAUAUCGGAACAUGUCCGGAAGUGGGGGAUAACGUAGCGAAAGUUACGCUAAUACCGCAUAUGCCCUGAGGGGGAAAGGAGGGGAUCGUAAGACCUUUCGCUUUCGGAGUGGCCGAUAUCAGAUUAGCUAGUUGGUGAGGUAAAGGCUCACCAAGGCGACGAUCUGUAGCGGGUCUGAGAGGAUGAUCCGCCACACUGGGACUGAGACACGGCCCAGACUCCUACGGGAGGCAGCAGUGGGGAAUUUUGGACAAUGGGCGCAAGCCUGAUCCAGCCAUGCCGCGUGAGUGAAGAAGGCCUUCGGGUUGUAAAGCUCUUUCAGCCGGAAAGAAAUCAUGCUUACUAAUACUAAGUGUGGAUGACGGUACCGGAAGAAGAAGCACCGGCUAACUACGUG